rnacentral:rRNA from 1 species
UACGUAGGGUGCGAGCGUUAAUCGGAAUUACUGGGCGUAAAGCGUGCGCAGGCGGUUUUGUAAGCCAGAUGUGAAAUCCCCGGGCUCAACCUGGGAAUGGCAUUUGGGACUGCAAGGCUGGAGUACGGCAGAGGAGACUGGAAUUCCUGGUGUAGCAGUGAAAUGCGUAGAUAUUGGAAAGACCACCGAUGGCGAAGGCACUCUACUGGGCCAUUACUGACACUGAGAGACGAAAGCUAGGGGAGCAAAUGGG